UACAGAGGUCUCAAGCGUUGUUCGGAUUCAUUGGGCGUAAAGGGAGCGUAGGUGGCGGGGUAAGUCAGGUGUGAAAUCUCGGGGCUCAACCCCGAAACUGCACCCGAUACUGCCUUGCUAGAGUACUGGAGAGGAGAUUGGAAUUUACGGUGUAGCAGUGAAAUGCGUAGAUAUCGUAAGGAAGACCAGUGGCGAAGGCGAAUCUCUGGACAGUUACUGACACUGAGGCUCGAAGGCCAGGGGAGCAAACGGG
rnacentral:rRNA from 1 species